AAGGACUGCAUAUGUGAGAGAGAGAGAGAGGUGUUGUAAUAGAAAAAGCAAUGAAGAUUAGUAUCUUAGUCAACCACUUUCAGGACUUUAUGGGUUGAACAGUGUGGAGAGAGAUAUAAAUAAAAGUUCUUGUCGUGUCAGUGCUAGGCAGUAUUACUUAUGGCCGGAGCCCAGAACGGCAGAAGCUCUGUUUGUAUCGUGGAGUCAUUUAGGAUUCUUCUUCCUUUGUCUCUUUGGUCUGGGCUAUGUUUUCUGGUCUCUCGAUGAAGGCUUGAAGGAGGGCUUUGCAGGGUGUAGUCUAUUGGGGUGAUUCAUGGCUGCAUUGUCAGCUUUGUUGUACGAUGGAGAUUUUUCGGGCUCUGAAGCUCUACCUGGUUACAGGGACUUUAGUCUGUUCUUCUUCUGGGUUAUUACUUCAAGGGUUAAAAGUAUCAGAACCCAUAAUAGUUUUAGGAAGAGCAGUCCAAGGAAGAAAUGGUUGAGAGAGGAGGAGAAACAGAGGAUCAGGGUCCAAGUUGUCGAAGAGAUUUGGCAAUGGUAUCAUCUUCUUCUGCAUGUUAUGCAAAGCCGGUUAGAGAAUCACAUCCAAACUGCCGUCCAUAUCCUCCACCCCUUGCGAAGUAUCAGGAUGUUAUGGCAGAUCGAAAGCUUUUCAUGAAUUCCCUGGAAAAACUUCAUGGUACCAUGGGAACUAAGUUUAUGAUCCCCACAAUAGGUGGCAAAGAGCUAGACUUACAUCGGCUCUUUGUAGAGGUGACUUCCCGGGGUGGUCUUGAACAGGUAAUUAGAGACAGGAGAUGGAAAGAAGUAACUGCUGUUUUCAAUUUUCCUGCAACAGCUACAAAUGCAUCUUUUGUCCUGCGCAAGUAUUACAUUUCCUUACUUCAUCACUUUGAGCAGAUCUACUUAUUUGGAGCUCAAGAUUGGACCUCACCACCUGCUGUUCCUUUGCAUUCUCCAUCUACCAUGACAGUUUCUUCUCGAGUGCCAGUUGAACCAGUGCCACCAUCAGCAGAAGCUCAAGCAAGUGUGAUGGUCAAACGAAGGAAAAGUACUGGGGAGUUCUUGCCUGGUGCAAGUCCACCACCACCAAUGCCUUGUCCUGUUGUUGGAGUCAUCGAUGGAAAAUUUGAACAUGGUUAUCUUGUCAGUGUUAUGGUUGGCACACGGCAACUGAAAGGUGUCCUGUAUCAUGCUAAUGAACUCUCAGCUGGCCAAGUGCCACAAUAUUCUGGUAUUCUUGCCAAUAAUAGUAGCAGGGAUGCUGCUGGGGUAGGCACACGCCGCCGUAGGCGUCGGAAGAAAUCAGAAAUCAGAAGGCGAGAUCCUGCCCACCCAAAACUUAACAGAAGUGGAUAUAACUUCUUCUUUGCUGAGCAGCAUGCUAGGCUGAAACUACUUCACCCUGGAAAGGAUAGAGAAAUAAGUAAGAUGAUUGGUGAAUUGUGGAACAAACUGACGGAGACUGAGAAAGCUGUUUAUCAGGAGAAAGGCUUUAAGGAUAAAGAGAGGUACAAAAGUGAGAUGGUGGUAUACAGGGAGAGACAGAGAACUGGAACAGUUAUCAGUGAUGCUGUACCGAUCCAGCAGCGACAUGCUGGGCCAGAUGUAGCAAUGGUGGAAGUGGAUCCAAUCAUAGAAGCUGAAGAAGGUGACUCCAUUCAAACAAUUGAGAGUGACACUAGUUCUGGAGUGUCUGAUUCUGAGGAGGAGAAAACUGCAGACAAGGAUUCAGAGAUUGAAAAAUCUCCAUUGGCAGGAAAUGGUUCUGAAUCUACCAAUGCAGCUCCAGGGGUGUCAAUAGAGGGAGAUGGUUUUGAGUUGCGGCAGAGGGAUCAGAAGGAAGAUGAGAACAAGGUUCAGGACUUGGGUUUGGAUGGUGUUUCAGGGCCUAUAAAGAAAGAAUCAGUAGCUAGUGAAGGACAUUGAUAUGAUCAGGGAAUUGGUAUAUUCUCGAAAGGGUUUUUACUUAUCAACUUUGGUGCAUUUGUAGAAUCAGUUCUGCAUGAAGGUGAUGCAAGUCCUGACAUUGCUCUCAAAGAAUUUUCUGCCCGCCUUCUCUGGUUCUGGUGAUCUGGUGGAUGAUCGUCGGAGACUUCAUACCUCCCCUGCUUUCCCUAUCUCUGAAUUUCCAAUUUUGAAAUGUGGAUAUGAGUUGAACUUUUCGUGGCGUUUUAUUAAUUUUUUUUUUUUAACAGUAUGGGUGAAACAGCAGUAGAAUGUUUGUGAUCUAAUUAUCUGUGAUGUAUUCUUUUUGCCUUCUGGAUGUUUUGAUAGUUCGUUGCAGUAUGCUUCCAGUUACUUUCUGUAAUAUAUUCCUUCUGCUUCGUGUCA